UGGCCAGCUGCUUCAUUUCCUCUUUUUUGCUCAUUUAGGACAUUUUGCAUGCUAAAUUGGCUCCUACUAAGAAACAGAACAAAAUUGAUUCUCUUCCCCCACCUCAUCUAACUUAAAGAAGCAGAAAAAAUUCAGGGAGGGGGAAGAGAUUAAAGGUGAUCCUGUGUCUCCACAGACAACCUAGCCAGUGUUUUAUAUUGUCAGAAAGAUAACAGUGGCACACAGGCUAGAGCAAAAAAAACAAAACAAAACCCAAACUUUGAUACAGAUGUGUCUGAGUGUACUGGGAUACUUAUUGAAAUGCACUAAAUAACUUGUAAGCCUGAGAUUCAAAGACGACUAAAGAGGAUUAAAUAAUCUGAAAUAGGCCAGAACUACUUUGUUGCUGUUGUUUUAACUUCGUUAAAAGGAAAAUCCAUUUGGAGGAUGCCUGAUGAAAACUCUCUGUCCUGCAUAAAUGGAAAUAAGAUGCUGGCAAAUGACUUUUUUUAGAGAGAGGAGAAAAGAGAAUUGUUAUUAUUUUUUCGAAGAAAAGAAAAUACCUCAAACCAAAGAUGUACUUUAAAAUAAAACUUGGAAAAUUGUUAGGACUUGCAAUAGCCUGCGUACUUGCAAUCUAGGGCAUGCUAGCCAAAGAGAAAAGCUUAACAGAUUGACUAAUCCAUUCGUUUGUUUGUUUAUUUAUUUAUUUUGCAAAUGUGAUCCUCCUACCACAUCUCUCCCCCCACCCCCCAGUCACAGCCAGAAAGCUGGUGAUUUGAUGUAGUGAAGUUCAGAACGGUGAGGCUAUGGCUAGAAUUCAAAAUGGACAAGCUGGAAAUAAUGGUCACUUUGGGUUUUAAGGGGGGAAAUGUAGAGCCACUGUGUGUGCAUUUGUGUGCUGUGGUUGUACAGUCUCAAAGGUCACUGUGCAUAGGUGUCACUCCGUAGUGCAGCAGGUGUGAACCGUAUGACACCAUUAGGAAGCAUGAUACCAAAAUGCCUGUCUAUAAUAUUUUUGAAGUGUUUAGAUAUAACAAAAUUUUGAUACAGUGUUCCCUCACUUAUCGUGGGGGUUAGGUUCCAGGACCACACGCAAUAAGUGAAAAUCCGCAAAGUAGGAACACUAUAUUUAUUUUAAUUUUAGUAGUAAUACACUAUUUUAAGUCUUUAUCAACCAAUCAUGUGUUGAUAAAUCGCCUCCUUCUCCUCCUGUUGCCGCUUGGACUCCUUUUCUCUCCUUUUGGCUUUUCCUUCCUCCCAUCCUUAGGCUGUAAAUUGUAAUUUUUAUGAUUUAUAAUAUUCUCUUAGAGUUUAUUGAAAAACCGUGAAACAGCGAAUCCGCGAAAAGUGAACCGCAAAGUAGUGAGGGAACACUGUAUAACCUUAAAAUGUAUAAGCCCAGCUUACAUGUACUGUUUUAAUAUUCCUAAAAGGGUACAACUGUAUGCUGAUUUACUUUUUGAACCUUCCAGUGUGCAUGUGAACUAUCAUUAUCACCCAGUUACAAUGACCAUUUGAAUCAGGUAGUUUCAUUUGCACAUGCACUGUUGUUUUCAGUGUUGCUGGGGUAUGUGUGUGUGUGUGUGUGUGUGUGUGUGUGUGUGCUGAUUUUGUCACAUUUCUAGUUUUUUGAUCUACAGUAUUAUGAUCUGGUCUGAUACAGGAAGAGGUCCAUUAUGAGUUACUGCAGAAACGUAUGCUACACCGUGGGGACGUUAGAAUUCCACCACCAUUGCAUGGUUUUUCUUUUCUUUCAUAUUCUUAACUUUUAUCCAGUGGCAUAUUAUUCUGUACUGGUACACACAAGAGCUGCCUGUCUGUAACAGUUAUCUAUAGUACAAUAAAUAGAUCACUAAGUUUAACAGGUUGAGGCAUUCUACACAGAUUAAAGCAGUUAAAACAAAUUUCUUGGUUCAAAUGGAAGUAAGUUCUUGUUUGCUUAAUAUUCCCCGUUUCUAUUUGUGAUGACUUACAAGAGCAUAGUCAUCUUCUCUAGGGUGCUUUCCUUGGUUGGUCCCAUUGAAAAGAACAGGCAAUGUACAAAAGGGCUUCUGUAUUUCUGCAUACAUCCUAUUCCUAUUCACGUCACCUGAAUCAGCAUACAAGAACCUUACAAUAGAGUGUACCCUCAACUUUCUAACUGCCCUGAAGGAAUUGAAUAUAGUUAACAAGAAGGGGAGUUCUCUUGUCAGCCAAGUCCUGUAGAACUCAAAGACUUUGUUCUAAGACAUUGUUAGGAAAGACCACAGGAUUUAUGGAUUUGCUUUCCCCAAGGCACACACGCACACACACACACACAGUUGGUCCUAUUGUAAGGCAACCGGAAUCUGAAACUUUCUGACACUCUACUGCCAAUCACUCAGAAGCCUUUUAGUUGGUCCCAAUCUACCUUCUGCCCACAUAAAGGGUAUACCAACAGAAAGGGUAUACAGACAAAGCUCUCUGACCAUAAGGCAAUUCUGCUUAUCUCACUUAAUACGCUUUCAAAAAUAAUCUCCAGUUUUGCUAAUACAAUAACACUGUCAUGGUUCAGUAAUACCAGCAUCCAGUAAGACUAUGAAUGGUCUGUAAACCUUCAAUAUGCUUCCCAUUUGUACAAAACCCAGACUUUGGUACUCUCAUAGAAUUAUAAUUAAAAUUGUCCAAACUUGUGUAGGAAAAACCCAAUAUAAACUGAUUUUAAACCAGUUCAGCAUUUGCUGAUUCUUGAGAGGAUGAAGAAGUUGCUGAAUGAGGAGCAGUUGAAAGAGCUGGGCAUAUUCAUAUUUGGUGAAGAGAAGACUGGAGAUUUUGCAUUCAGUAGGGGGUUGGACCUAAUGGCCUAUGACAGUGGUUUUCAACCUGGGGUCCCCAUAUGUUUUUGGCCUUAAAUUCCCAGAAAUCCUAACAGCUGGGAUUUCUGGGAGUUAUAGGCCAAAAACAUCUGGCCCCCUCAGGUUGAGAACCAAUGGCCUAUGAGGCCCAACUCUAGAAUCUAAGAUUCUAUAAUUCUUGCUCUAAUCUAUACAGAAACUCUCGGUUAACCAGAUGGCCUUUAUUUCUAAAAUAUUGAUAUUGCUGCAAAUUUAUUAUCUAACAUAAGUUAUACAGAGCCAGGGAAACUUAUUCUUUGGACAGCAAAGCUAUUGGUUAUAGUCCAAAAAAAAACUUUUGAUGUUCAUUAAGCUUAGAAUUGCACAUCAUUGUUUUACCCAUGGAGACAAAGCAAUAUAUGAAAAUUUUGCUACCAGUGGAGCAGUGAGUUUAUUGCAGGCUUUAGUGAAAAUGUCAAGGAAGAUGUCUGAGAAUCUGGACCUAUUUUGGAGACAGUGCUCAUCUGCUUGGAUAGUUCCAAUAAGGUUCAGAAGAAAUCCAAAGUGAAUCCAUUGCCCACUAAAAUGGAAUCUAUACUGAACUCUAUGUGUGUGUGUGUGCAUAAUAUUUAUUUUGUGGAUCUUUUGUAAAAGGAUUGACUCUUAAUUGCCCAUUCAAAUCAGAAUAAUCCCAUGCACAACCAUAUAUUGUUGAGAAAAUGUAUGCCCAACAUGGUUGUUGUAUGUUUUCCUGGCUAUAUGGCCAUGUUCCAGAAGUAUUUUCUCCUAAUGUUUUGCCCACAUCUAUGGCAGGCAUCCUCAGAGGUUGUGAGGUCCAACAUUUUUCAGGGACUGCAGAAAAGCUCAGAAGGAAUAGGGAAACUACUGUAUGUAUGUACAGAGGGCCCUUGGUAUCCCCUAGGAUCUGGUUCCAGGAUCUCCUUUAGAUGCCAAAAUCUAGUCCCAUUAUAUACAAUGGUAUUGCCGUUGGUUUGCUUUUGAGAUUUUUUAAAAAAUGUUCUCAAGCCAUGGGUGGUUGGAUCCAUGGAUACAAUAUCCAUAGAUAUGGAGGCCAAACUGAAUGUAUGUCACAUCAUCAUCCAUGCUAAUCAGUGGAUUUUAACUUGUGUUUUAACUGUGUGCUUUGUAUGUCUUUUAAUAGUGUUUUUUCUCUUGUUUUAAUUAUGUUGUAUCCCACUUCGAGCUGCAGGGAGAGGCAGGGAAUAAAUUCAUCAUCAUCAUCAUGAAACUGUCCUGGUGCUUUGACUCUUUGAGUCCUUCUUCCAGGACAGGACUGGAAAUGGGCUAAAAGGGAAACCAAUUGCUUCCAGGAGGAUGGAGCCAAUGAGAAACAGAUGAAGGGAAUGGCAAUAGGAAAGACUCUUUCUGAGCUGUGGUGCUUAUUAUGUCCAAGGAGUCAGCAAGGGAAGCAAAGGGAGGCAUGUAUGCUCUACCUUUCCAUCUCCUCCUCCUACCACAGGCACAAUGCUGCUGCGGCUGCAGGAGAGAGGCUUGCCAGCUCUUGGCAUCUGGGUUCUGCAGCUGUCAAGUAAACCCCAUGAGUAACCACAGCAGUUGGACGGAAACUAGAAGCAGAUAAAGCCUGAGCAGCAGCAAGGGGAUGGACGGGAUCACACACGACACCAUAAUCAACAGAAAUGGGAAAGUGCCAAGUUGAAGGGGGUUAUUGAAGACCAUCAUGAGUUUUCCUCGGUGGGGAAAGAGUUUGAAAGCCCUCCACCCCACCUGGCUAGAAUUCGCCCACACCUGGAAUGCCCUUCACAGCUACCUGGCUUCAAUUGGAAAUGCAUUACAUGCAUACUGGAUACAGAAGAGGAGGAGGGGAAGACUCAGGGAGGAAAAUCCUUCAAUGAAAUGUGGAUGAAAGCCAAGAGAGGACAAAAAUAUCCUGGCGGAUUAAAGUCUCUCUAGCCACACUUAGAUGGAAAGAUUAUGUGAAAUUCCUGAAUAAUGUGGAAUAAAAGGGACCCAAAGAUCAUUAACGAUAAUCAGAGAUUAACAUACACCAAAUGCAAGACGGCUGAGGCGGUGUUAUCUGCGAUCAAUUGAACUUAUUUUAGCAGCAAAAUAAGACAGAUUUGCAGCAUAAUAAUGACAAUAAUACAGAUAAAUAAGAUAACUCUUAAAUCUUUAAAGCAAUAUUUUAAAGUAUUUGUAAGACCUUGGUAAUAUAUCUGCAAAGGGAUGCCUCUCUGUAGUAUUAUAGACUGAAUGCCCCAGAUGUAAGAGGAAUAUUAGUCGGGUGGAAGGAGAUUCGGCAUCAGUGUAAUGACUUCAAAGAAUUUUUGUCUCCCAUCAUUUCACCUCUUAAGGAGAUGUCAGCCGUUUUUUCCCCUUUUAGAAACACAGGUCAAUUGCAACCUUUCCUCUUGUGGUUGCAGGGGUUUUCUGUUCUGGAAAUAGCCAGAUCACAGUAUACCAACAGAUGGAUUGAGGGGGGAAACACACAUCUGUGCAUACGGAAUUGGAAGAAGCUAAACUCUUUAGAAAACAAUAGAACCUUAGAGACAUCUGUUGUGGAAUCUCAAGAAGAAAGGGGUGCAUUACUUGCAAAUCCAUAGCAUGGGUAAUGCCAAAGACCCUCUUGCACAUUCCACUUUAAUGGGUACCUACAAACACUGCAUACCUAACAAAAAACAACACAUUAUGUAAAGUCUGAAUGGAAUAAUUUAUUACAAUCAACAGAUCAGACAAUAUGAAGUCUGUAUUUCUAAAAAUGGACUUAUCACUUCAAGUUGUUUUUUGACUUAUAGUAACCCUAAAAUGAAACUUCCAUGGGAUUUUUUCUGGGGCUUUGAGUGUGAACCUUAGUCAAGAUCAUCCAGUGGUUUCCAAGCCCAAAUCCUGAUCUUCAAAGUCAUAGUCAAAUGCUUGAACUACCACACAAUGCUGGCUUUCUGAACUUAACACUAGCUUUACUUAUUUGAAAAGAGGAGGCACAAAAGGGGGAGAUCCAGAAUGUGCUAGAGGUUAACUUUUUUCUACCAAUCCCUCACUUUCCAAAAUGGUGCUAAAAUGCUAUCUGCUGCAAACAGUAACUUUAGGAAUGAACUUUAUAUUUUGGUGUAGGGCGGGGUUAGGAGAUAAUUGGGAAAUGGCUGAAGGAAAUGGUUCAAAUAACCCAGUUGUAUUCUCAUUUGUGGAGGAGGACAGUGCUAUGUAAUUAAGGUGUAUAUGAAACAUAAAUGAAUUGUAGACUUGGGUCCCUUCUUCAAGACACCUUAUGCAAAUAUUCCAAAAUCUGAAACACUGAGGUACCCAAGCAUUUCAGAUUAAAGAUACACAACCUGUUCUGCGGAUAUCUAAAUCAAGAUUCACAUGUUUAAAGUUAAAAGUCACCCUUCCGCUCAACAUGAGUGCUGAGUUCUGAAAUCUAUGCUCUAUGUAGGCCAGGCUACUAAAUGUCAUGAAAUGUCACUUUAGCAACAGUUUCAUACACAUUAUGCAAAUAUAUUAAAAUUAUAGACCAUGUUAAAGUUCAACAUUUUUCUUGCUAAAAAUGUCCCUUUUUGGCCCAUACGUGGUACAGGAUGUGUAUGGGGAACAUUCAUUAGGAGUCUCCAGAAGGCCUCCUCCAUGAACAGAUUCAAGCAUUGAUACAUCUUGUUUGUCUUUGUUCGUUAGGCUGCAACACCAAAUUAUAGCUCAGGGGUAAGGCCCAUGGAUCACAUGCAAAACCAGGACAUCUCCUAAUCCAUUCAUUCUUCCAUGUUUUAAAAGAACAGAUUA